UCCCUGGUGGUCCAGUGGUCAAGACUCUGCUCUCCCAGUGCAGGGGGCCUGGGUUCAAUUCUUGCUCAGGGAA
rfam:Ovis aries breed Texel chromosome 12, whole genome shotgun sequence.